CCUACGGGAGGCAGCAGUGAGGAAUAUUGCGCAAUGGGCGAAAGCCUGACGCAGCGACGCCGCGUGGGCGAGGAAGGCCUUCGGGUCGUAAAGCCCUUUUGGCAGGGACGAGUGAGGACGGUACCUGCUGAACAAGUCUCGGCUAACUACGUGCCAGCAGCCGCGGUAAAACGUAGGAGGCGAGCGUUAUCCGGAUUUACUGGGCGUAAAGCGCGCGUAGGCGGUUGGGUAAGUCGGAUGUGAAAGCCCCUGGCUCAACUGGGGGAAGCCAUUCGAUACUGCCCGGCUUGAGGGUGAGAGAGAAAAGUGGAAUUCCCGGUGUAGCGGUGGAAUGCGUAGAGAUCGGGAGGAACACCAGUGGCGAAGGCGGCUUUCUGGCUCAUACCUGACGCUGAGAGCGCGAAAGCGUGGGGAGCAAACGGGAUUAGAUCCC
rnacentral:rRNA from 1 species